rnacentral:rRNA from 1 species
CAGCAGCCGCGGUAAUACGGAGGGAGCUAGCGUUGUUCGGAAUUACUGGGCGUAAAGCGCGCGUAGGCGGUUACUCAAGUCAGAGGUGAAAGCCCGGGGCUCAACCCCGGAACUGCCUUUGAAACUAGGUGACUAGAAUCUUGGAGAGGUCAGUGGAAUUCCGAGUGUAGAGGUGAAAUUCGUAGAUAUUCGGAAGAACACCAGUGGCGAAGGCGACUGACUGGACAAGUAUUGACGCUGAGGUGCGAAAGCGUGGGGAGCAAACAGGAUUAGAUACCCCGGUAGUCCCUGUCUCUUAUAC